rnacentral:rRNA from 1 species
AAUUCGCCCUUAGAGUUUGAUCCUGGCUCAGGAUGAACGCUGGCGGCGUGCUUAACACAUGCAAAGUCGAACGGACUUUACUUAUUAGAUCUUUUCGGAGUGACGAUUUGUAAAGUUAGUGGCGGACGGGUGAGUAACGCGUGGGUAACCUGCCCAUUACUGGGGGACAACAGUUAGAAAUGACUGCUAAUACCGCAUAAGCGCACAGGACCGCAUGGUCUAGUGUGAAAAACUGAGGUGGUAAUGGAUGGACCCGCGUCUGAUUAGCUAGUUGGUAAGGUAACGGCUUACCAAGGCGACGAUCAGUAGCCGGACUGAGAGGUUGAACGGCCACAUUGGGACUGAGACACGGCCCAGACUCCUACGGGAGGCAGCAGUGGGGGAUAUUGCACAAUGGGCGCAAGCCUGAUGCAGCAAUGCCGCGUGAGGGAAGAAGGUCUUCGGAUUGUAAACCUCUGUCCUCAGUGACGAAACAAAUGACGGUAGCUUAGGAGGAAGCCACGGCUAACUACGUGCCAGCAGCCGCGGUAAUACGUAGGUGGCGAGCGUUAUCCGGAAUUACUGGGUGUAAAGGGAGCGCAGGCGGGAAGGCAAGUCAGCGGUGAAAUACAUGGGCUUAACCCAUGAACUGCCGUUGAAACUGUUUUUCUUGAGUGAAGUAGAGGCAGGCGGAAUUCCGAGUGUAGCGGUGAAAUGCGUAGAUAUUCGGAGGAACACCAGUGGCGAAGGCGGCCUGCUGGGCUUUUACUGACGCUGAGGCUCGAAAGUGUGGGGAGCAAACAGGAUUAGAUACCCUGGUAGUCCACACUGUAAACGAUGAAUGCUAGGUGUGGGGGGUCUGACCCCCUCUGUGCCGCAGUUAACACAAUAAGCAUUCCACCUGGGGAGUACGGCCGCAAGGUUGAAACUCAAAGGAAUUGACGGGGGCCCGCACAAGCAGUGGAGUAUGUGGUUUAAUUCGAAGCAACGCGAAGAACCUUACCAGGUCUUGACAUCCAACUAACGAAGUAGAGAUACAUCAGGUGCCCUUCGGGGAAAGUUGAGACAGGUGGUGCAUGGUUGUCGUCAGCUCGUGUCGUGGGAUGUUGGGUUAAGUCCCGCAACGAGCGCAACCCUUAUCAUUAGUUGCUACGCAAGAGCACUCUAAUGGGACCGCUAUCGACAAGAUGGAGGAAGGUGGGGACGACGUCAAAUCAUCAUGCCCCUUAUGACCUGGGCUACACACGUACUACAAUGGCCGUUAACAGAGGGAAGCAAAACUGCGAAGUAGAGCAAACCCCUAAAAACGGUCUCAGUUCAGAUUGCAGGCUGCAACUCGCCUGCAUGAAGUCGGAAUUGCUAGUAAUCGCGGAUCAGCAUGCCGCGGUGAAUACGAUCCCGGGCCUUGCACACACCGCCCGUCA